rnacentral:rRNA from 1 species
UACAGAGGGGGCAAGCGUUAUUCGGAAUUAUUGGGCGUAAAGGGCGCGUAGGCGGCAUGGCAAGUGGAAGGUGAAAUCCCACGGCUUAACCGUGGAACUGCUGGGCAUACUGCGGGUCUUGAGCCAUCUAGGGGCCUGCGGAACAAGCGGUGGAGCGGUGAAAUGCGUAGAUAUCGCUUGGAACGCCAACGGAGAAAUCAGCAGGCUGGGGAUGUGCUGACGCUGAGACGCGAAAGCCAGGGGAGCAAACGGG